rnacentral:rRNA from 1 species
AGUGUAGGCGGCUACUUAAGUCGGAUGUGAAAGCCCCGGGCUCAACCUGGGAAUUGCAUUCGAAACUGGGUAGCUAGAGUUUGGUAGAGGUAAGUGGAAUUCCGGGUGUAGCGGUGAAAUGCGUAGAUAUCCGGAGGAACAUCAGUGGCGAAGGCGGCUUACUGGACCAAAACUGACGCUGAGGCUCGAAAGCGUGGGGAGCAAACAGGAUUAGAUACCCUGGUAGUCC